UACGACUACAUAUCAGGCAUAUCAAUAAGCGGAGGAAAAGAAACUAACAAGGAUUCCCUUAGUAACGGCGAGUGAAGCGGGAAGAGCUCAAAUUUGAAAUCUUCAAGGUUCUACCUUGACGAAUUGUAGUUUAAAGAAGUGUUUUCUGUUAGAUGAGUAGCAAAAGUUCCUUGGAAUGGGACAUCAUAGAGGGUGAGAAUCCCGUAUUUGGUUAUUCAUUCUAGCUUUGUGAUACACUUUCAAAGAGUCGGAUUGUUUGGGAAUGCAGUCCAAAAUGGGUGGUAAAUUUCAUCUAAAGCUAAAUAUUGGCGAGAGACCGAUAGCGAACAAGUACCGUGAGGGAAAGAUGAAAAGAACUUUGAAAAGAGAGUUAAACAGUACGUGAAAUUGUCAAAAGGGAAGCGUUUGACACCAGUGUUGUUUUUCCGAAAAUCAAUUACGAAUGGCUUGAUUUUGUGUUGUAUUGACCAUAUCAGCUUUCUGCACUUUUUUCGAGUCUUUCUUAAUGCACUUUUCGGUUAACAAGUCAACAUCAAUUUCUUUUGUUGUAAAAGAGUAUUCGGAAGGUGGCUUUCUUUUCGGAGAAAGUGUUUAUAGCCCUAUACUUCUACAAUCGGAGAGAUUGAGGUCUGCAGCGUAGAUCCUUCGGGGUUAGAUACACUUGUGCUAAGUUGUAGCUUUUCAUAGACAACUUGUUGACUAUGUUUAGUCAUGCGGCUUACUCGCUUGUGCUAUUUUACCUACGCUUAGGAUGUUGAGUAGCGACAUACGCAC
rnacentral:rRNA from 1 species